AGGGCUCAUUUGCCCUUGAGCCAGGUCGUGCACUGCUCAAAAGCCAAGUUCCCAAGAAGUUUUUACCACCCGGCGGUUGAAGCAGUGCUAUUUUCAGACUUCAAAAUACGGACAGUUGAUGGCUGACUUGAAAUGGACUUGAUAAAACACUCAGCUAACAUGGCACCAUAUGAUGAUUAAACUAUUAGGCUGUUGGCACCUUGAAAGGGGAAUAGACCCUUUUCAAAGACAUGUCAUCAUCAUCAUCAUCAUCAUCAUCAUCAUCAUCAUCAAUCCUUUAUUUAAUUCUCAGGAUAACAUGGAGGGAAGGAUCCUCAUGAGCUCUCAGACAUGAUGAAACAGGAUAAACGCAGUUGCAGUUAGUUGCAGUUGGUUGAUUUUUGGUGGA